GGGAAAAGCGUUCCUGUUAGUUGGACGAGGAGCUGUUUGGCUGAGGCAGUUUCCUCAAGAGUAAAGGCGGGCCUGUGCUAGGGUCACGCCACCGGCCUCCGUUUUCUUUACCCUUCUCUGUCACCAAACGAUAUUCCUGUCCAGUUACAAAGUGCAAGUUGUUUCCCUCAGGGAGUGCUCUUCAGAUCAAUACCUCUGGAAAAUGAGCUUCAGUGCAUUCCCAGCAAAGACUUCAAACAAUCCCACAGCUGAGGUGGAGUAACAGAGACCAGACUUAACCUUCCCAGCUAAAACAACUAAAAAAACAAGGAAAAAUACAUGAAAGAAUGGUUCUCCAGCCACUGAACAUCACACAGUGAAAGACAGUGAUUGCUGAGAGGUGAGAAACAAACAAGCUUACAAUCUGAAGGUGUCCGUUCCUACACUGGUCAGACCACUGUCCUUGGGGCAGCUGGGG